rnacentral:tRNA from 1 species
GAUGGCUCAAUGGAUAAAGCACUUGCUUCACAAGCAAGAGGACCUGAGUUCAAACCCCCAGAUCA